UGCCACAGCUCCAGGGAUGGGGCAACGCUAUUCACCCGAACUACAUAUCAUCAUCGUUUAUACGGUAUUUAGUUGUAACUCGCUCUUCAUACUAACACAUUCAUCCUUAUGCCUUCCUAAAUGUAUCUUACAUUUAAACAACAAAAAGAGCACUGUUUUAUUCUACGCACUAAGGGGGUUUAUAUCACACCUCCGCGUUUGCACCCCGUGUCCCCUGCACAAUCUCCUUACCGAUGUGAAUGAUGGAGUCCGCGCUCGCCACUGAAUUGCAUUGCAAUAUCCAUAAGGAAAGGCAUAUUAUCAGCAAUUCCAUCUCCGGUUUUGGCGAAAGCAGCUCAUCCACCGUCCCUCGUAUGUCGGACAAAUCCAAAUAAGCAACAGUGCAUGAACCAGUUGUUCAGACUGUGAAUAAAAGCCGAAAACAAAACUAUAAGGAAGGAGGAAAAAUGUCAAGGGGUUUCCUGGGGAUAGAAUAAGUAAGUGCAAGGGAGGUGGCGGUUGGGCAGAAAAGGCAGGGAAAUACUCGGCUUUUCGGUAAGGAAGGCUGAGAAUCCAGCGCGCUCUGCGGCUCUCGCUCUAUCCAGCGCUCGCGGAGUCUGAGACAUAUCAAACUGCAAACUGCGGAGGAGGGACACCCCCCACGCGCUCUCUCGAUAGCUCUCUCGCUCUCGAUUUUCUCGACCCACGUGACUGCAGAGACUCUAUCUACAACGCUAAGCUGCCCGGAGAAGACAGGGAGAGAUGGAAUCCGAGCAAGCCGGAGACGGCGACGGCGAUCAAGACAUGCCCCUGAGGCUCGGUCUGUCAGCGAACGCACAUUACCAUGGACUGGAACCUGGAAAACCAAAGAAAAUCCGACAUUAAAAAACACAUGGAUGGCGCGCAAAGCAGACUUGCAUUGCAGUGGCACACAAAAAGAUCAAGGCAAUGGAGAAAACACAUAUGGUGCAGCGGUGGUCACUUGCCAGCUUGGAGUCCAAGAGAAUACUCAACGCUGCGUUGGAGAAGAGGGCAAAAGCUGCGUCAAAGACCAUCUACCACUCUGCUCUGUAACGCAAAUUCUUGUGCGUUUUUAAUGAGGAAAUAUGCAGUUUCUGUUUCAUUUCAGAGGGUCAAGCAAUGGUGA
rnacentral:lncRNA from 8 species